AUUGAACGCUGGCGGCAUGCCUUACACAUGCAAGUCGAACGGUAACAGGUCUUCGGAUGCUGACGAGUGGCGAACGGGUGAGUAAUACAUCGGAACGUGCCUAGUAGUGGGGGAUAACUACUCGAAAGAGUGGCUAAUACCGCAUGAGAUCUACAGAUGAAAGCAGGGGAUCGCAAGACCUUGUGCUACUAGAGCGGCCGAUGGCAGAUUAGGUAGUUGGUGGGAUAAAAGCUUACCAAGCCGACGAUCUGUAGCUGGUCUGAGAGGACGAUCAGCCACACUGGGACUGAGACACGGCCCAGACUCCUACGGGAGGCAGCAGUGGGGAAUUUUGGAAAAUGGGCGCAAGCCUGAUCCAGCAAUGCCGCGUGCAGGAUGAAGGCCUUCGGGUUGUAAACUGCUUUUGUACGGAACGAAAAGCCCUGGGUUAAUACCCUGGGGUCAUGACGGUACCGUAAGAAUAAGCACCGGCUAACUACGUGCCAGCCGCCGCCGUAAUAC
rnacentral:rRNA from 1 species